rnacentral:rRNA from 1 species
UGCAUGUCUAAGUACAAACUAUAUUAAAGUGAAACCGCGAAAGGCUCAUUAAAUCAGUUAUGGUUCCUUAGAUCGUACCACAAUUACUUGGAUAACUGUGGUAAUUCUAGAGCUAAUACAUGCAAACAGAGCUCUGACCGGAGACGGAAGGAGUGCUUUUAUUAGAUCAAAACCAAUCGGCGUCAGUAGCAUUUCGGUGUUACUGUUCGUCGCUCAAUAUAUGGUGAAUCUGAAUAACUUUAUGCUGAUCGCAUGGUCUUGUACCGGCGACGCAUCUUUCAAAUGUCUGCCUUAUCAACUGUCGAUGGUAGGAUCUGCGCCUACCAUGGUUGUAACGGGUAACGGGGAAUCAGGGUUCGAUUCCGGAGAGGGAGCCUGAGAAACGGCUACCACAUCCAAGGAAGGCAGCAGGCGCGCAAAUUACCCACUCCCGGCACGGGGAGGUAGUGACGAAAAAUAACGAUACGGGACUCAUCCGAGGCCCCGUAAUCGGAAUGAGUACACUUUAAAUCCUUUAACGAGGACCAAUUGGAGGGCAAGUCUGGUGCCAGCAGCCGCGGUAAUUCCAGCUCCAAUAGCGUAUAUUAAAGUUGUUGCGGUUAAAAAGCUCGUAGUUGAAUUUGUGUUCCGCACUGUCGGUUCACCGCCCGCGGUGCUAACUG